rnacentral:rRNA from 1 species
AGAGUUUGAUCCUGGCUCAGGAUGAACGCUGGCGGCGUGCCUAACACAUGCAAGUCGAACGGAGCCUUAACCAAAGAAGCAGCCAGCUUGCUGGAAGCGGAAAAGGGAAAGGCUUAGUGGCGGACGGGUGAGUAACGCGUGGGUAACCUGGCCCAUACAGGGGGAUAACACUUAGAAAUAGGUGCUAAUACCGCAUAACAACAGAAAGCGCAUGCUUUUUGUUUGAAAACCAAGGUGGUAUGGGAUGGACCCGCGUCUGAUUAGCUGGUCGGCGGGGUAAAGGCCCACCAAGGCGACGAUCAGUAGCCGGCCUGAGAGGGUGGACGGCCACAUUGGGACUGAGACACGGCCCAAACUCCUACGGGAGGCAGCAGUGGGGAAUAUUGCACAAUGGGGGAAACCCUGAUGCAGCGACGCCGCGUGAGUGAAGAAGUAAUUCGUUAUGUAAAGCUCUAUCAGCAGGGAAGAAAAUGACGGUACCUGAGUAAGAAGCCCCGGCUAACUACGUGCCAGCAGCCGCGGUAAUACGUAGGGGGCAAGCGUUAUCCGGAUUUACUGGGUGUAAAGGGAGCGUAGACGGCAGUGCAAGUCUGGAGUGAAAGGCGGGGGCUCAACCCCCGGACUGCUCUGGAAACUGUACGGCUGGAGUGCAGGAGAGGUAAGUGGAAUUCCUAGUGUAGCGGUGAAAUGCGUAGAUAUUAGGAGGAACACCAGUGGCGAAGGCGGCUUACUGGACUGUAACUGACGUUGAGGCUCGAAAGCGUGGGGAGCAAACAGGAUUAGAUACCCUGGUAGUCCACGCAGUAAACGAUGAAUACUAGGUGUCGGGGGGCAGGGCCUCCCGGUGCCGCAGCAAACGCAGUAAGUAUUCCACCUGGGGAGUACGUUCGCAAGAAUGAAACUCAAAGGAAUUGACGGGGACCCGCACAAGCGGUGGAGCAUGUGGUUUAAUUUGAAGCAACGCGGAGAACCUUACCAAGCCUUGACAUCCUCCUGACGGCCCCUUAGCCGGGGAGUCCCUUCGGGGCAGGAGAGACAGGUGGUGCAUGGUUGUCGUCAGCUCGUGCCGUGAGGUGUCGGCUUAAGUGCCAUAACGAGCGCAACCCCUAUCGACAGUUGCUAACGAGUCGAGUCGAGGACUCUGUCGAGACUGCCGGCGCAAGCUGUGAGGAAGGCGGGGAUGACGUCAAAUCAGCACGGCCCUUACGUCCGGGGCGACACACGUGUUACAAUGGCAGGGACAGCGGGAAGCCACCAAGCGAUUGGGCGCGGAACCCGAAACCCUGUCUCAGUUCGGAUUGGAGUCUGCAACUCGACUCCAUGAAGCUGGAUUCGCUAGUAAUCGCGCAUCAGCCAUGGCGCGGUGAAUACGUUCCCGGGCCUUGCACUCACCGCCCGUCA